rnacentral:rRNA from 1 species
UACGUAGGGGGCAAGCGUUGUCCGGAAUCAUUGGGCGUAAAGCGCGUGUAGGCGGUUCAGUAAGUCUGCUGAAAGUCCAGGGCUCAACCCUGGGAUGCCGGUGGAUACUGCUGGGCUAGAGUACGGAAGAGGCGAGUGGAAUUCCCGGUGUAGCGGUGAAAUGCGCAGAUAUCGGGAGGAACACCAAUUGCGAAGGCAGCUCGCUGGGACGUCACUGACGCUGAGACGCGAAAGCGUGGGGAGCAAACAGG